rnacentral:rRNA from 1 species
UACGAAGGGUGCUAGCGUUGUUCGGAAUCACUGGGCGUAAAGCGUGCGUAGGCUGUUUGGUCAGUCGGUUGUGAAAUCCCCGGGCUUAACUCGGGAACUGCAAACGAUACUGCCAAGCUAGAGUUCGGUUGGGGAUAGUGGAAUUCCUAGUGUAGGGGUGAAAUCCGUAGAUAUUAGGAGGAAUACCGGUGGCGAAAGCGACUAUCUAAGCCAACACUGACGCUGAGGCACGAAAGCGUGGGGAGCAAACAGG